UCCGCCCACCUCAACCUCCCAAAGUGCUGGGAUUACAGGCUGGGCUCUGCAAUUAUAAUGUAAUCCCUUCCCAAAGGUCCCACCUUCUAAUACCAUACCUUGAGGGUUACAACUUCAACAUAUGAAUUUGGGGUUGGGUUUGUGAUUAAGGGGCACAAAUCUUCAGACUAUAGCAGCUCAGGACAAAACAAAGGAGAUGUAAA